UCACUGAUUUUUGUUCAGCACUCGCAAGCCUGGGGGAAAGUUUUGGGCUCAAUUAAAGCUUUGGUAGGGGGUAAAUUUAUGUUUUUAAUUGAUUAUUUCUAGGGUUUCGGUGUGCCAGUGAAGAACGUAGCAGAUAUCAUUAAAGCAGCAUAGGAAUAAAAAGGAGGCAAGUGUUUCUUCAGCUAAGAGCAAAGGAUGCAUCUUGGCCAAGCCUGGAAAUAAAGACAGUUCCACAAGCCUUAGAGUCUGUAGCCUGAGAGACUGAGUUGGUGAUCUGCCUCUGACAACAUGCAUAAGAAAACCCAGUCCGUGCUGCAAAAUGCUUUGAACAAUCAGAGGCCCAGUGGUUGCUCCUAAUAAUAUUGGUGAUCUAAACAAUAUUACAGACUUUGUGUGGUAAAGUUUUCAGAUUCUGUGCCUUUACAUCCAGGUAAAAAAUGUAAAAUAUAUUUAUGAAUCAUUAAUAAAUAAAUACUAUGGCAUGAGCCAAAUAAUCGUGAUUAUGAUGACCAUUUAAAAAGCCAGAUCUGUUCAAGUAACAGUUUGGCUUUGUGUCUUGAAUUUUCAGCAAUGCUGAAAAACUUCAUAUACCAUUUGUGUGCUUCACUGAACACCAAAGAGUGUUGAUACAUGUGUAGCAGCUUGGUGAUUAUUCUAUUGAAGCUUCUCAAAUAGCAUUUUCAUUACUGUCUGAGAGCCCCAGAGCGAAUAGCACAAUUAAACCCUGUACGGAACAGAAAGUUAACUUUAAAAGGACCAGACCUGAGCUCCACCCCAAUCUAAGUGCUGUUUGAAACUUGCCCUAAACUCAUAUGUCUGGAAUAAAUAUAGAAAGCUAUUUAAAUGUUAAUCAUUAUUAAAUCAUCAAGCCAAUAGCAGUCGUGUCUCUUAAAAAUAAUUGUCAGCCUAAUUCUUCCCUUCAUUUAAUGUUGCCACACCUGCAAGAGCUAUGCUGUGACUGACAAAGCUUGUAUUUCCACUUGAUUGUUAUGCUUGCUGCUAGACUGGUGAGCCCACAUUGUACAAUGCAGACGUUUUUAUAAUCUAAAUAAAUCUUCCUGC